UACGGGGGGGGCAAGCGUUGUUCGGAAUUACUGGGCGUAAAGGGCUCGUAGGCGGCCAACUAAGUCGGACGUGAAAUCCCUCGGCUUAACCGGGGAACUGCGUCCGAUACUGGAUGGCUUGAGUUCGGGAGAGGGAUGCGGAAUUCCAGGUGUAGCGGUGAAAUGCGUAGAUAUCUGGAGGAACACCGGUGGCGAAGGCGGCAUCCUGGACCAUUACUGACACUGAAAAGCGAAAGCCAGGGGAGCAAACGGG
rnacentral:rRNA from 1 species